rnacentral:rRNA from 1 species
GACGAACCGUGCGAACGUUGUUCGGAAUCACUGGGCUUAAAGGGCGCGUAGGCGGGCCGGUUAGUCUGCGGUGAAAGCCUCCAGCUUAACUGGAGAAGUGCCGUGGAUACUGCCGGUCUGGAGGAGGGUAGGGGCAUCUGGAACGCUGGGUGGAGCGGUGAAAUGCGUUGAUAUCCAGCGGAACUCCGGUGGCGAAGGCGGCAUCCUGGACCGGCAUUGACGCUGAGGAGCGAAAGCUAGGGGAGCAAACGGG